GAUGAACGCUGGCGGCGUGCCUAAUACAUGCAAGUCGAGCGAACAGACGAGGAGCUUGCUCCUCUGACGUUAGCGGCGGACGGGUGAGUAACACGUGGAUAACCUACCUAUAAGACUGGGAUAACUUCGGGAAACCGGAGCUAAUACCGGAUAAUAUAUUGAACCGCAUGGUUCAAUAGUGAAAGACGGUUUUGCUGUCACUUAUAGAUGGAUCCGAGCCGCAUUAGCUAGUUGGUAAGGUAACGGCUUACCAAGGCAACGAUGCGUAGCCGACCUGAGAGGGUGAUCGGCCACACUGGAACUGAGACACGGUCCAGACUCCUACGGGAGGCAGCAGUAGGGAAUCUUCCGCAAUGGGCGAAAGCCUGACGGAGCAACGCCGCGUGAGUGAUGAAGGUCUGCGGAUCGUAAAACUCUGUUAUUAGGGAAGAACAAAUGUGUAAGUAACUAUGCACGUCUUGACGGGACCUAAUCAGAAAGCCACGGCUAACUACGU
rnacentral:rRNA from 1 species